UUUUUUUUUUUAUCUUUUGGCUAAGAUCAAGUGUAGUGUUUGUUUUUAUUAGUUUAAUAUUUUAUAUAUAAUUAUGUAAGAUCCAUUUUUACAAUGAUAUUAAAUUUAUUUUUUAUAUGAGAGAGGAUCCAUCAAAAUAGCUCGCUAUUGGGUCCUCACGUGUCGCUUUGAGGUUGCACUACUAUCUAAACCGGGCACACCCCAA
rfam:Hordeum vulgare subsp. vulgare, WGS project CAJW01000000 data, contig: morex_contig_112173